rnacentral:rRNA from 1 species
UUAAGAAUCUUGCACAAUGGGGGCAACCCUGAUGCAGCGACGCCGCGUGGAUGAUGAAGGCCUUCGGGUUGUAAAGUCCAGUAAGCAGGGAAGAAUAAUUGUGGGGUAAUAUUCCAUAAGAUGACGGUACCUGCCUAAAGCCCCGGCUAACUACGUGCCAGCAGCCGCGGUAAUACGUAUGGGGUAAGCGUUGUUCGGAAUUAUUGGGCGUAAAGGGCGUCUAGGCGGGGGAUUAAGUUAGAUGUGAAAGCUAUGGGCUCAACCCAUAAACUGCAUCUAAGACUGGUUCUCUUGAGUUCGGGAGAGGAGAGCGGAAUUCCAGGUGUAGCGGUGAAAUGCGUAGAUAUCUGGAAGAACACCAGUGGCGAAGGCGGCUCUCUGGCCUAGAACUGACGCUGAAGCGCGAAAGCGUGGGGAGCGAACAGG